rnacentral:rRNA from 1 species
UACGGGGGGAGCAAGCGUUGUUCGGAUUUACUGGGCGUAAAGGGCGCGUAGGCGGUCAGCACAAGUCAGUUGUGAAAUCUCCGGGCUUAACUCGGAAAGGUCAACUGAUACUGUGCGACUAGAGUGCAGAAGGGGCAACUGGAAUUCUCGGUGUAGCGGUGAAAUGCGCAGAUAUCGGGAGGAACACCGGUGGCGAAGGCGGUUCUCUGGGCAUUACCUGACGCUGAGGAGCGAAAGCAUGGGGAGCGAACAGG